UUGAAAUGAUUGUGUCUGGACCAGACAGGUCUAGAUAUUGUGAGGAAGAAUCCGCACUGUUUGGGUACCAUGACACACAAGUAACAACGUCACAGAGUCUGACCACACAAUCCACUUUGUCACCGCUCACAGCGCUCUAAGACUA